UAGGGAAAGUUUUUCGGUGUAGGAUGAGACUAUAUAGUAUCAGCUAGUUGGUAAGGUAAUGGCUUACCAAGGCUAUGACGCUUAACUGGUCUGAGAGGAUGAUCAGUCACACUGGAACUGAGACACGGUCCAGACUCCUACGGGAGGCAGCAGUAGGGAAUAUUGCGCAAUGGGGGAAACCCUGACGCAGCAACGCCGCGUGGAGGAUGACACUUUUCGGAGCGUAAACUCCUUUUCUUAGGGAAGAAUUCUGACGGUACCUAAGGAAUAAGCACCGGCUAACUCCGUGCCAGCAGCCGCGGUAAUACGGAGGGUGCAAGCGUUACUCGGAAUCACUGGGCGUAAAGGGCGCGUAGGCGGAUUAUCAAGUCUCUUGUGAAAUCUAAUGGCUUAACCAUUAAACUGCUUGGGAAACUGAUAGUCUAGAGUGAGGGAGAGGCAGAUGGAAUUGGUGGUGUAGGGGUAAAAUCCGUAGAUAUCACCAAGAAUACCCAUUGCGAAGGCGAUCUGCUGGAACUCAACUGACGCUAAGGCGCGAAAGCGUGGGGAGCAAACAGGAUUAGAUACCCUGGUAGUCCACGCCCUAAACGAUGUACACUAGUUGUUGGGGUGCUAGUCAUCUCAGUAAUGCAGCUAACGCAUUAAGUGUACCGCCUGGGGAGUACGGUCGCAAGAUUAAAACUCAAAGGAAUAGACGGGGACCCGCACAAGCGGUGGAGCAUGUGGUUUAAUUCGAAGAUACGCGAAGAACCUUACCUGGGCUUGAUAUCCUAAGAACCUUUUAGAGAUAAGAGGGUGCUAGCUUGCUAGAACUUAGAGACAGGUGCUGCACGGCUGUCGUCAGCUCGUGUCGUGAGAUGUUGGGUUAAGUCCCGCAACGAGCGCAACCCACGUAUUUAGUUGCUAACGGUUCGGCCGAGCACUCUAAAUAGACUGCCUUCGUAAGGAGGAGGAAGGUGUGGACGACGUCAAGUCAUCAUGGCCCUUAUGCCCAGGGCGACACACGUGCUACAAUGGCAUAUACAAUGAGACGCAAUACCGCGAGGUGGAGCAAAUCUAUAAAAUAUGUCCCAGUUCGGAUUGUUCUCUGCAACUCGAGAGCAUGAAGCCGGAAUCGCUAGUAAUCGUAGAUCAGCCAUGCUACGGUGAAUACGUUCCCGGGUCUUGUACUCACCGCCCGUCACACCAUGGGAGUUGAUUUCACUCGAAGCCGGAAUACUAAACUAGUUACCGUCCACAGUGGAAUCAGCGACUGGGGUGAAGUCGUAACAAGGUAACCGUAGGAGAACCUGCGGUUGGAUCACCUCCUUUCUA
rnacentral:rRNA from 2 species